rfam:Callithrix jacchus chromosome 13, whole genome shotgun sequence
GCCAGGCAUGGUGGUUCAUGCCUGUAAUCCCAGCUACUCGGGAGGCUGAGGCAGGAGAAUCGCUUGAAUCCAGGAGGCAAAGGUUGCAGUGAGCCGAGAUGGUGCCACUGCACUCUAGCCUGAGUAACAGAGUGAGACUCUGUCUCAA